AUUGACUGCCAACACUAAUUUAGCUUAUUUUGUACUAAACUAUUGUAAUAUUGUCUUUCAUACAUUUUGUGAAGGCAUAUAUACCUAAGGCUUUCCUUUAUUGGUAGAGGUAGAGGGGAUAAAUGACGUUUCGUCUUUAAAAUAUUCUCUUAGAACUUCUUGAUCAAGAGGGAAAUGUCGUAGGUGGUGGCUAAAGUGGUAUGUCACACCGCAUAACAUGCAUACAUGAAUGAUGUGGUAGGAAUUCGUCUGAACUUGCCUUCUUAUAGCUUCAUGAAGAGAUGCGGUUGGUGGCAUCUAAAGUAAUCUGUCAGUCUGCAUAACAUGUAUGUAUGAACAGUCAAAAUUUCUGUCCAUGUAAUUUGAUCGUGUCGACUGAGGAACACUUACAUUUUUGCCCGAUUAAUACUCAAAAUAACCAGAUAGUGAGUCUUUUCUUAUAUAUUACAGUUGUAAGUAAUUUUUCCAUCAUUUUCUGUUGUUGCCAUGAGGUACUCUAUACACGUAUGAUGUAGUUGCAUCAUGUAUUCUGCACGACUCAAAUCAUCUUCUGGUAAGACUAUCAGCAUCUGAUCAACAUUAAUAAACAUUGAUAACAAUGUUUAUUAAUGUUCCUUUCUCAUUGUAACAUAUUAAAGUUAUGAUUUGCUGCAAUACUUAAAUACAAAUUUGACACUUUUGUACAGGCAGUACCACAGGUGGAGGCAUUCGGUUCCACCGAUUUCUAUCUGAACAUAAUCGCAACCAAACUCGGAGUCCAGAGAAUUAGUGGCGUUGUGGUGUUUGACACAAUAGAGAAAAAGACUUUCGACCCUUUGGUAGAUGUGGAGAUCUUUGUGGAGUCGGAUUGAUUUAUCAUCGAGUUCUCAUUUGUUAGAGCUCGAUGAAAGGUUGAAUCAUCUCUCGAAUGAGUUAGAUUGAGAGCAACAAUGAAGCAAAAAAGCAACAUAGUUCGUUGCUACUCUUGCUUGCCGAUGGUCAGUUGCAAGGGCGUAUUUUUGCCCAUCUCUUUCAUUGCUUGCUGAUGAU